rnacentral:rRNA from 1 species
UCACUAGUAAUCGCGGAUCAGCAUGCCGCGGUGAAUGCGUUCUCGGGCCUUGUACACACCGCCCGUCACACCAUGAGAGUCGGGAACACCCGAAGUCCGUAGCCUAACCGCAAGGGGGGCGCGGCCGAAGGUGGGCUCGAUAAUUGGGGUGAAGUCGUAACAAGGUAAC